CCCCUACGGGACGCAGCAGUGAGGAAUAUUGGUCAAUGGGCGCGAGCCUGAACCAGCCAAGUCGCGUGAGGGAAGACGGUCCUAUGGAUUGUAAACCUCUUUUGUCGGGGAGCAAAAGACGCCACGCGUGGCGUUCCGAGAGUACCCGAAGAAAAAGCAUCGGCUAACUCCGUGCCAGCAGCCGCGGUAAUACGGAGGAUGCGAGCGUUAUCCGGAUUUAUUGGGUGUAAAGGGCGUGUAGGCGGGGAUGCAAGUCAGAUGUGAAAACUAUGGGCUCAACCCCUAGCCUGCAUUUGAAACUGUAU
rnacentral:rRNA from 1 species